rnacentral:lncRNA from 1 species
UUUCUUUCUUUCUUUAUCUUUCUCUCUCUCUCAACUCAAGUUUCUUAUAUGUAACUACCAGUCCAUUUCCUUUCAAUAUUUAUUUUACACAUAUGAUUUGCAAUUGGUUUGUUCUUUUAUUACGCUUCAUAUCGCAUAGGAAACCUUAUCACAUAAAUAGGAUUUAAGGCUUGUAAUAUGUGACAACCAGUCUGGUCAAGGAAUCCCGAAUAUAUACAUUAAGAAUGUUGUUUAUUUUCACACGAAAUUCAUCACGUGCAUUUAGUUUUGCUCCGUCUGGUAACCCCAAAUUAAUAACUGCAGAAUUUGAAUCAUUGGAAGGAAAUUGAGCCCUGCUACACACAUUUCUUUUCUUUUUGUUGCUAAACUUAUAAUCUAUACACAUCAGAGUAUUCCGGCCAACACGAUUGUUUAAUCGUAGAGUAACUGACAUUGAGAUUUGAAAGCUACCGGACAUUUUAACUUCGAACUUCAGAUCUCGUGUAUUGUAAGAUAGAAAAUCACAUUUCGCAUUCACAGAUGGAAUAUCUUUUGAAGAAUUAAUCAAUGAAUUUAGUUUUGUUUGAUCCAGCUUGAAAACGCAAAGUUCGGAAUGAGUUUCUGGCGUGGUAUCUCUUGGCCUGUUCAUGACAUAAUAUACACUAAAUGAGAUGCAGACACAAAGAAUCACAAUAAAU